rnacentral:lncRNA from 1 species
AGUCCUGGCAGCCCCUCCCAAACCCCUUACAUCAAGUGAGAGGGACCCAGCAAAUCCCGGUGUAAGUCAGGUCUAGAAGCCAGUCAUUGACAGAGGAUUGGGAUUUCACUCUGGCCCAAGUUUGGCUAGUAGACACUUCACAUGAGUCAAGUCCAGGCCUCCUGUACAUCCAGAGUUUUGAGAGAAGGAACCACGUGGGGUAUAAGAAGGCAGCCUCUCUCCUACCCACUUCCUUCACUAAUGAAAUAGUGGUUAACUGCCUAGGCUCAGAAAUGUCACCUCUGUGAGGCCUUUCCCUGACACCCACUUCCACCCCCGCCCUCCUAACCCGACAGAAUAAACCACUUCUGGGUGCUCUGGUAUCACUUUUGUUGCACCUGUUACAGCCGGUGCCAGGCAGUUAUCUUCUAGUUCCGAGUUUCCCGGCCUGUCAGAGGAAGUAUGCCACAGUCUUUCUUGACAAAGUGGGGACUCCUUCAUGGAGAGUGUUGUGAGGCACUCUUCAGGCUUUCACUCAUUUAUUCAAUCGUUGUGCACCUACCAUGUGUCAGGCAUUUGCUUAAUUGCCAAAAUACAAUGAUAAGGCAUAUCCACUCCCUCAUCUUUAUAGUUCCUGCAGUCUCGCUCAAGAUCAGGCACAGCAGGGGUUGGCAUGGCAAUCUAGUUAGAAAGCUUGUCUUGAAGCUGCCUCUUUGCACAGCAAACACCAUUUUAACUUACACUCAAUAAUAAAAACAUUAACAUUUUCUCAAGAUGCUUUAUCUACAGUUUCUAAGACAGAAAUUCACUUGUAACAUAUAUAUAUAUGUGUAUACAUAUAUACACACACAUAUAUAUAACAUCUGGGAUGACUUUGG